rnacentral:misc_RNA from 1 species
GAGUUGAGUUGAGUUGAGUAUUCUAUGGAAUAUUUUCUUCACAAUCUCAAGUUUUGAAUGUGUAAAAAUUUUUGUAUAGAACAGAUAUUUUCCAAGUUUUUGGAAUACAAAUUUCAUACAUAAGAAAAGCUAUCCAAGGGCAUGGAAUUGUAAUUCUAUUCUCUAAACCGAAUAAGUAAAUCUUAAGCUAAAUAUAAAUUUCAUUUCCCUCAAAGGCUUUCCUUUUAUCUCUUCAGUCUAGAUGGCCAAAAAAAAUGGUUUCUGGUGAUGGGGAAUACAUGUGAUAUACAUGAAGCAUAUAUGUCAUAGCUUGGCAAUGUGUAAUUGUUUUUAAUAAAAAGUAUUUUGUACUUCAGCAACGGAAGCCCAUUGAUUUCUGGAAAUCUUC